GUGACCCGCGCCAGGAGCGACCGGGACCGGACGCGAGCGCAGCGGGUGCUGCUCGGUGGGGAAGACGCGCCGCCGCUGCCCGUGAGCAAGGCGCCGCCGCGUGACGGGUCGCAGUUCGCCUUCGGGCGUGUUGCUGACAGGCGGCGUCGAGGUCCCGCAGACUCGCAGCGUCUGCGGCGUUUGAAGAGGAGCCUCACAUGAGUGAUGAGGAGCAGAAAUCAAUUCACACUCCACGCGCUUUUAAUCCGUUUUAUUUGUAUGAAACAUUACCAAUCAGGAGGCAGUGGGCACGAUCCAAGUGUGGAAGGGACAGAGACGCUGUGGCACAGAAAACAGGGAGACAAUACUUUGAGCAAACGAUGUUCAACCAAAGCAGAUGAAGCUCCAGGACCGCUCGGUUCCGACCCCUGAUGGAUCCGUGGGCCAACACGUCUGGAGCUCACGCUGUCAGUCCACGCAGUCCUCUGAUAUAUUUAGACUUCAGCUGCACAGUUCACCCUGGGAAUGUCCUGACCUUGUCGCAUGAGUCCGGUGGAAUCCUUUGGUAAUAGCUCAGACCUCCAACUGCUUUUAUUCUUCGAUAUUUAGUGCAGCAAAACGUGACCCUUCUUAGAAAUCAUUUUGAUUAACAGUUAACAUGGACGCUUUUAUAACUUAUGUACAUCUGUUUUUACAAUUAAAAGUAAUAAUUACAGCAAAUCAUAAAAAAAA